AGGUCCUUUCCCACUUGAAUGGUUUUAUCAUUCUGUAAUACAGGACCAUGGUGGUAAGUUGAUUUGACUCAUCAAACAAGUGGAUGCUGAAUUAAAAAAACAAAGCAACACAAAAUUACAUGUAAGUAUCAGUUUCUGAUAUGAAAGAUGAUGUGGCAGUUUGGGGAUGUUCAAACUAGAAUUAUUAACAUGGAUCCUCUGUGAAAAAAGAGACGCAGAGUUUUAUCUGACUCAUGUUGGAUACUGGCCCUCCAGAACAAAAUCCAGACAGGUUUCUGUCUUUAGCUAGUAACUAGAUGUUCUAAGUGCUAAAUGUAAUAAUGGGAGUAAGAAAUAGAUUCUUAGACCAAAGCACUAACAUAGUUGCAUAUGAAAACACAGAACCUGAUGCAUCUCAGGUGCCACAUUCAGAUUCUUAAUUCUGUUUUGCUUUCCAUCUACAUCAUACUCCUGUUGCUCUUUUCCUGUCUGUGAUGUGAGGAGAAUCCAGCUGUAGGAUUUGGAGUGAGAGGCUAUGGAAAGCAACACCUCUUGCCAGCUAUCUAAAAUGAAGACUUUCUGGUUCCAUGCUUCCUUGGUUAUCUUGUUGUGAAGCAGAGAGGGAAAAAACCCAGCAGAAUCCUCUUGUCAAGAUUGGGGAAUUAUGUCUACUGAAGCUUUCCCUCUGAGAAGGGUGGCCAGUGCGUGCAAAUAUUGUCCCAGGAUGAAACAGGAAAUUCAAGCUGCUGCUUUUCAGGACACAGGCUUAGAUAAUAAGCAAAAACUCAAGUGGAUAACAGCAACGUUUAAGGUCCAUGGAAGUGCCUUUCUGUCUCUCAGAUGUGGUUUGUCUACU
rnacentral:lncRNA from 1 species